CCUACGGGAGGCAGCAGUAGGGAAUAUUGCACAAUGGGCGAAACCCUGAUGCAGCAACGCCGCGUGAGUGAAGAAGUAUUUCGGAAUGUAAAGCUCUAUCGGCAGGGAAGAAAGUGACGGUACCUAAGUAAUAAGCCCCCGCUAACUACGUACCAGCAGCCGCGGUAAUACGUAGGGGGCAAGCGUUAUCCGGAUUUACUGGGUGUAGAGGGAGCGUAGACGGUGAGACAAGUCUGAAGUGAAAGCCCGGGGCUCAACCCCGGGAGUGCUUUGGAAACUGCCUGACUGGAGUGCUGGAGAGGCAAGCGGAACUCCGAGUGUAGCGGUGAAAUGCGUAGAUAUUAGGAAGAACACCAGUGGCGAAGGCGGCUUGCUGGACAGUAACUGACGUUGAGGCUCGAAAGCGUGGGGAGCAAACAGGAUUAGAUACCCUAGUAGUC
rnacentral:rRNA from 1 species